GGUGUUUAUUAGAGGCACCGCCUGCCCAGUGACACAUGUUUAAACGGCCGCGGUACCCUAACCGUGCAAAGGUAGACAUAAUCACUUGUUCCUUAAAUAGGGACCUGUAUGAAUGGCUCCACGAGGGUUCAGCUGUCUCUUACUUUUAACCAGUGAAAUUGACCUGCCCGUGAAGAGGCGGGCAUGACACAGCAAGACGAGAAGACCCUAUGGAGCUUUAAUUUAUUAAUGCAAACAGUACCUAACAAACCCACAGGUCCUAAACUACCAAACCUGCAUUAAAAAUUUCGGUUGGGGCGACCUCGGAGCAGAACCCAACCUCCGAGCAGUACAUGCUAAGACUUCACCAGUCAAAGCGAACUACUAUACUCAAUUGAUCCAAUAACUUGACCAACGGAACAAGUUACCCUAGGGAUAACAGCGCAAUCCUAUUCUAGAGUCCAUAUCAACAAUAGGGUUUACGACCUCGAUGUUGGAUCAGGACAUCCCGAUGGUGCAGCCGCUAUUAAAGGUUCGUUUGUUCAACGAUUAAAGUCCUACGUGAUCUGAGUUCAGACCGGAGAGGC
rnacentral:rRNA from 1 species